rnacentral:rRNA from 1 species
CCUGACUUUUAAUCAGGGUGUCCCGCGUUCGAGUCGCGGAUAGAUCACCAAAAAGGUGGCGACAUAGCCAAGUGGUAAGGCAGUGGACUGCAACUCCUUGAUCCCCAGUUCGAAUCUGGGUGUCGCCUCCAAAAUAUUCCAAGGUAGCUCAACGGUGGAGCAACCGGCUGUUAACCGGUAGGCUGUGGGUUCGAGCCCCACCCUUGGAGCCAAAAAAAGCCGAAGUGGCAGGUGUAGCGCAGUUUGGUAGCGCACAUGGUUUGGGACCAUGGGGCCGGGGGUUCGAGUCCCUUCACCUCGACCAAUAUAAGGUGGGUAUAGCUCAGUUGGUUAGAGCGCCAGAUUGUGGCUCUGGAGGUCGUGAGUUCGACUCUCAUUAUCCACCCCAAAUUAUAUGGUCUAUUAGCUCAGUCGGUANNNNNNNNNNNNNNNNNNNNNACCCUUGUAGUACUGGGACUCUAACCAUAGGCCAUGAAUCUGGUCUUGGGACACUGUCAGGUGGGCAGUUUGACUGGGGCGGUCGCCUCCCAAAAGGUAACGGAGGCGCUCAAAGGUUCUCUCAGUACGGUCGGAAAUCGUACGUAGAGUGUAAAGGCAAAAGAGAGCUUGAUUGCAAGACAUACAGGUCGAGCAAGGAUGAAAAUCGGACUUAGUGAUCCGGUGGUUCUGCGUGGAAGGGCCAUCGCUCAACGGAUAAAAGCUACCCUGGGGAUAACAGGCUUAUCUCCCCCAAGAGUCCACAUCGACGGGGAGGUUUGGCACCUCGAUGUCGGCUCAUCACAUCCUGGGGCUGUAGUAGGUCCCAAGGGUUGGGCUGUUCGCCCAUUAAAGUGGUACGCGAGCUGGGUUCAGAACGUCGUGAGACAGUUCGGUCCCUAUCCGUCGCAGGCGUAGGAAAUUUGAGAAGACCUGUCCUUAGUACGAGAGGACCGGGAUGGACGUACCUCUGGUGUACCAGUUGUCCUGCCAAGGGCAUGGCUGGGUAGCUAUGUACGGAAUGGAUAAGCGCUGAAAGCAUCUAAGCGCGAAGCCAACUUCAAGAUAAGAUUUCCCACCGCAAGGGUAAGACCCCAGAAAGACUAUCUGGUUGAUAGGUCGAAGGUGUAAGUGCAGCAAUGUAUUUAGCUUAUCGAUACUAAUAGGUCGAGGACUUGACCAA